AUUCCAUGACAUCGCUCUGUAAUAUUCCAGCAUAUAUUAAUUUCUCCAUUGUCAAAAGUCUAACCUUAGGAAAAGGACUUUUGAAUACAUAUUGCUAGGCAACAGACGCUAAUUGUUUCUUAUGUGUAAGUCUCUUCUCCUCAGGAUUCCAUCUCUUAUUCUUCUAAUGGGCUCUAUGGUGUUCAGUAUAAGGCUCCAUUAUUGGCACUCAAGGAGACUAAGGGAAGAGUAGUCUGGACAACUACCAAUCGGUCAAGAUUUAACCAAGAGAUCAAACUCAUUCACUGUUUCUGGCAUGUGCUUUGCUGAUGAAUCUCCACCCAGAGGACAAGACACAGAGUCAUUGCAGCCCUACAGCUUCAACUGCCAGGUGAAAUUUGGAGAAUAAAAAUCCACGUGAAGAUGGAAAGCAACUCCACGGAAGCGCAUUGCUUGACUGGUUACAAUUAUUCUGCCUUUGCUGUCCCAACCGGGGAGGGGGAAAAAUUGUGCUCUCUAUGUAUCAAGAAUGAAGAAAAGUGUUUCCUUUGUACAAGAACUGUUUUGACAGACAGCCUCAGAAGAUAAAGAAAUGUAUCAAUACAUCUGCUUCGUACCUUUUACUACACAGAAUCUCUACAACUAGGAAGAAAUUGAAGAAAGAGGUUAUAUUUCAUAGAUGUGAAAAUUAAAAGAAGACUCAUUGAAAAAAAAUAGAAUGGAGGAAAGACACAGAGAUACCUCAUCACUGUAAUUUUUAUAAAGAUUAAAUCAUGUUAAGUCCAGGUGUCUUUAAAUGGAGCCUAUCUUAAUGGUACACCCUAGGCUCUGAAAAGAGAUUGACAAGACAAGUAGCAAGAAACUAAUGUCCUGGAUCCCAUACACUUGGAAACUAAAAAUCUCUGCAAGACUCUACCGUGAAUAAUAAGUAGCUUUUACAAAUAAGUCUCAUUUUAAAGAAUAUAUCAACUAUAUCCCUCACCCACCACCCUUUCUAAAAAUAUUUCUUUCACAUUCACUUAAACAAAUCACUUCCAUUUAACAAUUCUAGCACAGGUAAAACAUUUACGUUCUCUGCAGUACUCUCUCUUCGUUCUUCAGGUUUAGUUAUAUCCAGCCUCACAUUGAUGGAAGUUUCUUUAUUUGUAUACUGUAAACAUUUCCAUAGGAUAUUUAUCAUAUCAGUAGACAACAUUUAUCUUAAGCAAUUAUUUUGUCAAAAGAUAUUUUAAUCUCUUCUUUUAGGAACACUAAUCUGGAUUCAGCCUCUUCCUAAAAGUAUCAUUUGGAAUUCUCCCCUCUGCCCUUUUUAUUUCCCUCCCUUAUUCUGUUUUCUGCAAUUUAUAUACUUUCUUCUUUCAACACACUGAAAAUUUUCUUUUUUUUUUUUUUUGCUUCCUUUCCUUUGUAACAUUUUCAAUUUGAGCUUGAGAGAGAGACAGGAAUACUCAAUGAUUAUGGAGAACUCUUAAAAACAAAACUUUAACUUUUUUGGAAUAUAAAGAGACACGGCUAGCAGCCCAUUCUUCUUUGAGAUUAAAAUUUUAACAUACAUGAUUGCCAGUUUUAGAUGAUUUUAUAGACAUAUACAUUUAAAUGAUUAAAUGAUUACAGCAGCAUGAACUUUAAUUAUUUGGAAAUACGUUUCCACAUCUUGCAAGACUCAAGAACAUAAAAGAGACUAGCUUCAGUUCUUUCAAACCCUUUCUUUUCAAAAAAUUUGACAAUUUAAAAUAUACUUCCUUUUAAGUCUUAAUCCUUAUCAAGCAAUACUUUGAUGUGAUAUGACAUUGUUAUAUGACACACUGGUUGAUUCUAAGUGAACAUGAUUUAUCCUCCAAGUUUUGCUGUUAAGAGUUACAAAGAUGUUUCCUUUUUUCAGACGUGAUCAAAUUAAUAAAAACUGACAUGUACAUCAGCUUAACUCUGUACCAAAAUCAAUG
rnacentral:lncRNA from 1 species